GUCUAUGGCCAUCCCACCCUGAAUGCACUUGCUCUGGUCUGAUCUCAGAAUCUAAGUAGAGUCAGGUCUGGUUAGCACUUGGAUGGGAAAGCACUCCUGACAAGACUUAGUUCCUCAGAAC
rnacentral:rRNA from 1 species